UACAGAGGGUGCAAACGUUGCUCGGAAUCAUUGGGCGUAAAGCGCACGUAGGCGGCCCAGCAAGUGGGGAGUGAAAGCCCUCGGCUUAACCGAGGAAGUGCUUCCAAACUACUGGGCUUGAAUACUGGAGAGGGUCGCGGAAUUCCCGGUGUAGAGGUGAAAUUCGUAGAUAUCGGGAGGAACACCAGUGGCGAAGGCGGCGACCUGGACAGAUAUUGACGCUGAGGUGCGAAAGCGUGGGGAGCAAACAGG
rnacentral:rRNA from 1 species